rnacentral:rRNA from 1 species
CAAAGGAAUGAUCCGGUGGCGGAUGGGCAUGCGGCGCAUUAGCUAGACGGCGGGGUGACGGCCCACCGUGGCGACGAUGCGUAGGGGUUCUGAGAGGAAGGCCCCCCACACUGGGACUGAGACACGGCCCAGACUCCUACGGGAGGCAGCAGUGAGGAAUAUUGGUCAAUGGGCGGAAGCCUGAACCAGCCAAGUCGCGUGAGGGAUUAAGGCCCUGCGGGUCGUAAACCUCUUUUGCCGGGGAGCAGUGGUCCGGACGCGUCCGGGCCGGGAGAGUACCCGGAGAAAAAGCAUCGGCUAACUCCGUGCCAGCAGCCGCGGUAAUACGGAGGAUGCGAGCGUUAUCCGGAUUUAUUGGGUUUAAAGGGUGCGUAGGCGGGCAUUUAAGCCGGCGGUCAAAUGUCGGGGCUCAACCCCGGCCUGCCGUCGGAACUGGGUGCCUUGAGUGGGCGAGAAGUAUGCGGAAUGCGUGGUGUAGCGGUGAAAUGCAUAGAUAUCACGCAGAACCCCGAUUGCGAAGGCAGCAUACCGGCGCCCGACUGACGCUGAGGCACGAAAGUGCGGGUAUCGAACAGGAUUAGAUACCCUGGUAGUCCGCACAGUAAACGAUGGAUGCUAUCUGUCCGGGCCGAAUGAGGCCUGG